AGAGGAGUUCGCGGGAGCCUCGCUGGGAGGCUGAGAGGGCUUCGUGCCGACCGCCGCACCUGAUGCGGGUCAUGCCGCCGGAGGGAGAAUACAGUGCACGUCA
rnacentral:ncRNA from 2 species